UGUAGACAAAGUUUCUGUGUUUAUUAAUAAACUAUUAUUAUUAGCUAUUAGGCCUACUUGAAGUAUAGCAUACUCUUAUGUGCAAUAGUACUAUAUUUCUGUUUGAAUUGCUUCAAGUUAUACCGAAAUUCUAUUUUGACAGGUUGUCGUAAAGACAUUGCCGUUUCUGUCAGUCUGUGUAUAUGAUACGAAUGAAUGACGAUAGUUUUAUCAAAUGAAAUGGUGAAAUCCUCUCAUAGCGCGCUGACGUGCACAUGUGUAGCAUACAUCAUGCGUCAAUAUAUGAAACCGCAAACAUGAGGUGCGAGCGGUCGCGAGCGCGGAUGGGAGAAUGGAGGAAGUUUUUUUGUUUGUUUGAGCAACUGGGGUGGUGCCCCCUCUGGGAGUUGGUGCCCUACUCUGCGUGUAGGGAGCGACGUAUUUGAAAGAGCUGAAGCUCCCGAGAGCUGACCCUACUGCUGUCCGCUACGUGCUCCAGCGUAUCCUCAACCAAUGACAGGACCUGUGGCCCAGGGGAGCAGACGUGCGGAAGGAAGAGCUGGAUGAUAUGGUGGAUAAGGAAAUGGCUGCGACUUCCUCUGCCAUUGAAGAUGCUGUGCUGAGAAUGGAUGAAAUAUUGAGCCAGGUAAUAAGAGAUUCAUCUGGAGUGAAGCUGGAAGUUAACCAAUGGCUAUACACAUCCUGGUGACAGCUGCUACUGAUCUGCAGAGAGACAUUGUGGAAAGUGGCUGGGUAUGAUUUGGUAACAGUGGUCAUUUUAGAUAGUUUUUUAUAAAUCUUAUGUAUUCGCACACUCAAAUGCAGGGUUUGUAAUCAUUUCUGUCAGGGCGCUGGUUCUGUCAAGGACUUCUAUGUUAAAAAUUCAUGUUGGACAGAGGGUCUCAUUUGGCAUCAAAGGCUGUCGGAUGGGGUGCAACGCAGAUGCUGUGAGUGUGUCGAAUAUUUCAAGCUUUAGCCUGGAUUUAUUGAGUGUCAGUCCCUGUAAUUGUGAUUUAUUAUCUCACAAAGUGACUCCGCGGACAAAGUUUUGACUACAAAAUGGGAGGACUUAUUAUGUUGUGAAAUUUAUGCAUAAUUUUUUAAACAUCUGUUUUUUUUUACGCUGCAACAACAAAUUAAAAACAUUUUGGAAAUCCAUUCAAAAACCAUCAAAAUACUCCAUGAAAUCUCGUUUAUAAGAAAACAGUUGCACUCUCUCUCCUUGGUCUUUAAAUAUGACUGAUAUUGACAAAAAUAUCAAAUGUAGCUCUCAAAGGGAAAUAUGCAAUUUUUGUAAAUAUAAUUCAAAUCUGACUAAUUUUCUAAUCGUUUGUUAUAAAUAAACAUCUCAGAAAAAUGUUAUGGGGUUUCAGAUCGAAUUAGGACUUUUUGUUACGAAACAGGGUAUCAUUUUCAUUACAGGUCUUCUGUAAAGGACAACAGGACAGGACAAACAUCACGUUAAUCUGGGAUUUUGCAAAUUAAUGUGCAAAUUAGAUGCAAAGUAUAGAUCCAUUGUAUAGAGUGGGAAUACCAAUUUAUGGACAUUUUAUGCACAUAUUCCAUCAAGUACGGUAUUAUAUAAAAUCAUUCUGUUAUAUAACAUAUUUGAGAA